rnacentral:lncRNA from 1 species
UGAAAACAGAGUCACCAGUGGAGGAGUUAGAGAAAGGACUAAGGUAACUGAGGGGAUUUGCAACCCCAUAGGAAGAACAACAAUAUCAACCAACCAGAGCCCCCAGUGUUCCCAGGGAGUAAACCACCAAUCAGAGAGUUCAUAUGGAGAGACCCAUGGCUCCAGCUGCAUAUGUACCAGAGGAUGGCCCUUGUCAGACUCAAUGGGAGGAGAGGUCCUCAGUCCUGUGAAGACUCUAUACCCCAGUGUAGGGGAAUGCCAGGGCAGGGAGGCAGAAGUGAGUGGGUAGGUGGGUUUGUGGGUUGGGGGAGCAACCUCAUAGAGGCAGGGGUGGAAAGAUGGGAUGGGGAGUUUUUGGAGGGGAAACUAGGAAUGGGGAUAACAUUUGAAAUGUAAAUAAAGAAAAUAUCCAGUAAAAGAAGAAGACAAAGAA